UGGGUUUCUUUGUCUCUUUUUUUUGUUUACGUAUAUGUAUGAUUUGGUUUCUCUGGUAGACCUGUGAGUUUGUUUCUUCUGAUUUUGGAUUCUUUGCGGUUUGGUCUCUUGACUCAAUUAUGGGAAAAGAGCUUAGCUUUAUGGACUGAAUUCCUUUUCUGGAGAAGUUUCGUUAAAGAUUUACCCUUUUGCUAUGUUUAGACUAUAAAACUUUGACGUAAAUUGACUUAUUAAUUGUAUAAAUCUAGUAAUUUUUGGCAGAUUCCUUAAGAGUUUCUUGCUAUGUUUGCUUGUGUUUCAGGGAAUGAAGCUUUGUUGCUUUGUGGUUAGCCAUUACUCUGAGGUUCAUUCCAAUUCUAGUCUAUUGAUUGCUUUUUCAAUUAUAUUGAUCUAAGAACUGUUUUCUUUGUUGUUACUUCGUGUUAGUGUUAAUAACAAUUUGACUUGAAUAGCAGAUAAUUGUUACAAACAUUAAAUCAGUUUUUCGGAUAGUUUGUCAACAUUACACGGCAAUUAGAAUGUUAACCAUCUCCAGCAUUACUUGACCAUAUUGCCGUUGUAGCUGGGGUAUCAAAAUUAUUGUCUAGAUAAUAUUAUAUUUACCAUUUAGCAAUACAGAAAAGAAUUACUUUUCAGGAACAAAUUCCAUCAAUAUAGUCCUGCUUAAUUGUUAAUUGCAUAUUUUGUCUGAAAAUAAGAACAUGUUUUUCGUUUCGCAAAAUGUUGUUGAAGCUUUUGAUGAAAUGGAUAGUCUCGUUAGAAUGCAUCCUUGUCUCUUUCAAUCUCCAUUAGCUACAAACAUUCUUUAAAACACUUUUAAAAGGCUCACCUAUGAUCUCUGCACAAAGAAUGUGGUUUCUUUGUAUUAAGUUCUUGAAAACGAUAGGUGUAGCUUAUGCUUCAGCUGUUUAGUUAUCUCGAGAGUGGGUGUUGUGAUUUGCUCGGAGAUCAUGGUCUCAACCAUUUUCUUCUGAUACCAUCACCACAUAGAGACGAAGAUGAUCAAGAAAGGAAUGUGUAUUUUUAUAACACGAAGUGUGUCUUUAAAGGCAUACAUUAUUAGCUCAAAAGUAGUAACUGAGGAAGAGCUUUAAAUCACUCUUCGAGCUGCAAAGGAAGGAAUAUAUUCGCUCCAACGGAAUUUAGAUGCAUCAAGCGAUUUGUAUUUAUGUGUUAAAAUUUUGAUUAAUUUUCUAAAAAGUUGUUUAGCGCGAUAAACAAAUAGUUGAAAGUCACUUACAGAUUUAUUCUAGACAAUAAAAGUUUUAGCCAGA